rnacentral:rRNA from 1 species
CACUGGAACUGAGACACGGUCCAGACUCAUACGGGAGGCAGCAGUAGGGAAUCUUCCGCAAUGGGCGAAAGCCUGACGGAGCAACGCCGCGUGAGUGAUGAAGGUCUUCGGAUCGUAAAACUCUGUUAUUAGGGAAGAACAUAUGUGUAAGUAACUGUGCACAUCUUGACGGUACCUAAUCAGAAAGCCACGGCUAACUACGUGCCAGCAGCCGCGGUAAUACGUAGGUGGCAAGCGUUAUCCGGAAUUAUUGGGCGUAAAGCGCGCGUAGGCGGUUUUUUAAGUCUGAUGUGAAAGCCCACGGCUCAACCGUGGAGGGUCAUUGGAAACUGGAAAACUUGAGUGCAGAAGAGGAAAGUGGAAUUCCAUGUGUAGCGGUGAAAUGCGCAGAGAUAUGGAGGAACACCAGUGGCGAAGGCGACUUUCUGGUCUGUAACUGACGCUGAUGUGCGAAAGCGUGGGGAUCAAACAGGAUUAGAUACCCUGGUAGUCCACGCCGUAAACGAUGAGUGCUAAGUGUUAGGGGGUUUCCGCCCCUUAGUGCUGCAGCUAACGCAUUAAGCACUCCGCCUGGGGAGUACGACCGCAAGGUGAAACUCAAAGGAAUUGACGGU